AGGACUCGCGGACCUUCUCGCAGUUUCUGCUGCUGAUGGAGCAGCAGCGGCAGCUGCACGAGCUGCAGCGGGAGGUGGAGCAGCUCCGGGCCGCCGUGGCAGCCGCCGAGACCCCCGAGGAGUCGGGGGGACCCCCGGGGGACCCCAAAUCGGAGCUGCGGGAACGGGACCGGGAACAGCUGCAGGAGCUGCGGGCAGGCACGGGGGGAUUGGGGGAUUUGGGGGGGAUUUGGGGUUCGGGGGGGGAGAGAUUUGGGGUCUGGGGGGGCGAUUUGGGGUCUGGGGUGGAGAUUUGGGGGCGUUAUGGUGUUUUUUUGGGGGUCCAGGGGGGCCAAUAUGGGGUUUGGGGUGGGGAAUUUGGGGUCCUGGGGGGAAUUUGGGGGCGUUACGGAGAUUUUUCGGGGUCCUGGGGGGGGAAAUUGGGGUCUUGGGGGGUGGAAUUUGGGGUCUUGGGGGGGAGAUUUGGGGUCUGGGGGGGAGAUUUGGGGGCAUUAUGGGGUUUUUUUGGGGUCUUGGGGAGGGAAUUUGGGGUCUGGGGGGAAGAUUUGGGGUCUGGGAGGGGCAAUUUGGGGGGUAAUGGGGCAUUUUUUGGGGUUCGGGGCGGGCAAUUUGGGGUCUGGGGGGAGAUUUGGGGUCUGGGAGGGAGAUUUGGGGUCUUGGGGAGGGAAUUUGGGGUCCGUGGAGGGGGAAUUUAGGGUCCUCGGGGGGGAUUUGGGGGCGUUAUGGGUUUUUUUGGGGGGUCCAGGGGGGCCAAUUUGGGGUUUGGGGUGGGGAAUUUGGGGUCUGGGGGGGGGAUUUGGGGUCUGGGGGGGGAAUUUGGGGUCCUGGGGGGUGGAAUUUGGGGUUCAUGGGGGGAAUUUGGGGUCUGGGGGGGCGAUUUGGGGUCUUGGGGGGAAUUUGGGGGGGUUAUGGGGGAUUUUGGGGGGUUUGGGGGCUGUAAUUAAUUCGGUUCCGGGUUCUAUAAUUAAUUGGGGGCAGGUUUGGGGGUCCGGGCCGGUUUUUGGGGGGGGGGUCUCAGGGCUGUGCCCCCCCCAGGACUGGGGGAGCUGCCGGCCCGGCUGGAGGAGGGGCGGGGGGCCGGGGACCCCCCCGGGGACCCCCCCGGAUUUGGGGACCCCCUGUGGGACCCCCCCGGGAUUGGGGACCCCCUGUGGGACCCCCCCGGAUUUGGGGACCCCCUCUGGGACCCCCCCGGAUUUGGGGACCCCCUGUGGGACCCCCCCGGAUUUGGGGACCCCCCCGGAUUUGGGGACCCCCCCGGGGACCCCCCCGGAUUUGGGGACCCCCCCGGGGACCCCCCCGGGUUUGGGGACCCCCUGUGGGACCCCCCCGGAUUUGGGGACCCCCCCGGAUUUGGGGACCCCCCGUGGGAGCAGCUGCGGCGUCUGGAGCUGCUCGUGAGCCGGAGGGGCCCGGGGGCGGUGAGAGCCAAACUGGGAGCACUGGGAGGGACUGGGGGGGACUGGGGGGGACUGGGAGCACAAACUGGGAGUACUGGGAGGGACUGGGAGGGACUGGGAGCACUGGGAGGAACUCACUGGGAGCACUGGGAGCACCAACUGGGAGUACUGGGAGGAACUGGGAGUACUGGGAUGGAGCAACUGGGAGUACUGGAAGCACUGGGAGGGACUAACUGGGAGGGACUGGGAGGAACUGGGAGUACUGGGAGGGAGCAACUGGGAGCACUGGGAGGGACUGGGAGUACUGGGAGCACAAACUGGGAGUACUGGAAGGGAGCAACUGGGAGAAAUGGGAGCACUGGGAGCUACUGGGAGGGAGCAACUGGGAGCACAAACUGGGAGGGACUGGGAGGGACUGUGAGUACUGGGAGCACUGGGAGGAACUCACUGGGAGCACUGGGAGCACAAACUGGGAGUACUGGGAGCACUGGGAGUACUGGGAGCACUGGGAGGAACUAACUGGGAGUACUGGGAGCACUGGGAGCACAAACUGGGAGCACUGGGAGGGACUGGGAGCACUGGGAGGAACUGGGGGGAACUGGGAGCACAAACUGGGAGUACUGGGAGCACAAACUGGGAGCACUGGGAGGAACUGGGAGGAACUGGGAGUACUGGGAGGGACUAACUGGGAGUACUGGGAGCACCAACUGGGAGUAUUGGGAGGAACUAACUGGGAGGUACUGGGAGCACUGGGAGCACUAACUGGGAGCACUGGGAGGGACUGGGAGCACUGGGAGGAACUGGGAGUACUGAGAGCACAAACUGGGAGCACUGGGAGGGACUGGGAGGGGAGGUUGGGGGGUUUUGGGGGAACAAUUUUGGGUUCAUGGGGAGAAUUUGGGGUUAUUGGAGAGAAUUUGGGGGUUCAUUGCUGAAAAUUUGGGGUUUUAUGGGGAGAAUUUGGGGGAGAAUUGGGGGAAAUUUGGGGGUUCACGGGGAAAAUUUGGGGGUUAAUUUGGGAAAAAUUUGGGGUUUUAUGGGGAGAAAUUGAGGGUUAGUUGGGGGAGAAUUUGGGGUUAAUUGGGGAAAAUUUGGGGGUUCACUGGGUGAAAUUUGGGGGUUCAUUGAGGGAAAUUUGGGGGAUCAUUGGGGGAAAUUUGGGGUUAAUUGGGGGAGAAUUUGGGGGUUCACAGGGAAAAAUUUGGGGGUUCACUGGGUGAAAUUGGGGGUUCACUGGGUGAAAUUUGGGGGUUCAUUGAGGGAAAUUUGGGGGUUCAUUGAGGGAAAUUUGGGAUUAAUUAGGGGAGAAUUUGGGGUUAAUUGAGUGAAAUUUGGGGUUAAUUGGGGAGAAUUUGGGGGUUAAUUGGGAGAGAAUUUGGGGGUUCAUUGAGGGAAAUUUGGGGGUUCAUUGAGGGAAAUUUGGGGUUAAUUGAGGUAAAUUUGGGGAUUAAUUGAGUGAAAUUUGGGGGAUCAUUGGGGGAGAAUUUGGGGGUUCAUUGAGGGAAAUUUGGGGGUUCAUUGGGGGAAAUUUGGGGUUAAUUGAGGGGAAUUUGGGGGUUCACUGGGUGAAAUUUGGGGGUUCAUUGGGGGAAAUUUGGGGGUUCAUUGAGGGAGAAUUUGGGGGUUCAUUGAGGGAAAUUUGGGGUUCAGUGAGGGAAAUUUGGGGAUUAAUUGAGGGGAAUUUGGGGGAUCAUUGGGUGAAAUUUGGGGGUUCAUUGAGGGAAAUUUGGGGGUUCAAUGGGGGAAAUUUGGGGGAUCAUUGGGGGAGAAUUGGGGUUAAUUAGGGGAGAAUUUGGGGGUUGAGUGAAAUUUGGGGGUUCAAUGAGGGAAAUUUGGGGUUAAUUGAGUGAAAUUUGGGGUUAAUUCGGGGAGAAUUUGGGGGUUCAUUGGGGGAGAAUUUGGGGGUUCACUGGGUGAAAUUUGGGGGUUCAUUGAGGGAAAUUUGGGGUUCACUGGGUGAAAUUUGGGGGAUCGUUGGGGGAGAAUUUGGGGGUUCAUUGAGGGAAAUUUGGGGUUAAUUGGGGGAGAAUUUGGGGACUCAUUGGGGGAAAAUUUGGGGAUUCACGGGGAGAAUUUGGGGGUUCCUUGCUGAAAAUUUUGGGGGUUUCUUGGGGAAAAAUUUGGGGUUUUAUGGGGAGAAUUUGGGGGUUCAUUUGGGAAAAAAUUGGGGUUCAUUGGGGAAAAUUUGGGGUUCAUUGGGGGUUUAUUGGGAGUUUAUGGGGAGAAUUUGGGGGUUCAUGGGGAGAAUUUGGGGUUAUUGGGGGAGAAUUUGGGGGUUCAUUGGUGAAAUUUGGGGUUUCAUUGGGUGAAAUUUGGGGUUAAUUGGGGGAAAUUUGGGGGUUCACUGGGUGAAAUUUGGGGGUUCAUUGAGGGAAAUUUGGGGAUCAUUGGGGGAGAAUUUGGGGGUUCACUGGGUGAAAUUUGGGGUUAAUUGGGGGAGAAUUUGGGGUCCCCCCUCAGGUUUGGGGUCCCCCCCCCUUUUUUCGGGUCCCCCCCAAUUUUGGGGUCCCCCCCCCCAAUUUUGGGUCCCCCCCAAUUUUGGGGUCCCCCCAGGUCCCGGCAGGGUCGGAGCCCCUCCGCAGCCGCCCCCCCCCCCCGCGCCCCCCCAGCCCCAGGUGAGCCCCCCGGGACCCCCAACCCCACCCUGGCAGUGAGGGGGGGCUCCCCACCCCCCCAGGGGUGACAGCAGCACCCAAGGGUGCCCCCACAGCCCCUCCCCCACCCCCCAGGGAGGAGGAGGAGGAGGAAGAGGAGAGACCCCUGAGCCCCCGCGAGCUGCGGGAGAGGGUCCUGAGAGAGGUGGGGGUCCUGGCACCCAUGGGUGGGGGUCCUGGCACCCAUGGGUGGGGGUCCUGAGAGAGGUGGGGGGCACUGGCACCCAUGGGUGGGGGUCCUGAGAGAGGUGGGGGGCACUGGCACCCAUGGGUGGGGGUCCUGAGAGAGGUGGGGGGCACUGGCACCCAUGGGUGGGGGUCCUGGGACAUGGGUGGGGGUCCUGAGAGAGGUGGGGGGCACUGGCGCCCAUGGGUGGGGGUCCUGAGAGAGGUGGGGGGCACUGGCACCCAUGGGUGGGGGUCCUGAGAGAGGUGGGGGCACUGGCACCCAUGGGUGGGGGUCCUGAGAGAGGUGGGGGCACUGGCACCCAUGGGUGGGGGUCCUGAGAGAGG
rnacentral:lncRNA from 1 species